UACGGAGGGUGCAAACGUUGCUCGGAAUCAUUGGGCGUAAAGCGCACGUAGGCGGCUUGUUAAGUCGGAUGCGAAAGCCCCAGGCUCAACCUGGGAAGUGCAUUCGAAACUGGCGAGCUUGAAUAUGGAAGAGGGUCGCGGAAUUCCCGGUGUAGAGGUGAAAUUCGUAGAUAUCGGGAGGAACACCAGUGGCGAAGGCGGCGCCUGGGCCAAUAUUGACGCUGAGGUGCGAAAGCGUGGGGGAGCAAACAGG
rnacentral:rRNA from 1 species